CGCGGGAUAGAGCAGCAGGCAGCUCGUCGGGCUCAUAACCCGAAGGUCACAGGUUCGAGUCCUGUUCCCGCUACUA
rnacentral:tRNA from 1 species